GGCAAUCCCUUACGAAGGCAUCACGUAUAUAAACUCAGAUGUCUCCUGGAUAUCCCGCAGUUAAGCUCUCACCAAAGGCGUUCAACUUGUGUUGACAAGACAUGGAUGCAACAAAGAUGACGCUAUUUCUGCUCUACGGAUUCGUGCUGGGAAUAUUCAUCUGUCCCAGUUUGGCCCAGAAAGUGAAAUACCAGUCGUGCUACAAACUGGGAGAGGGUGAGGCUGCCUGCAUGACAGUGGUCGUGGACCGAGAUACGAAACUAGUGAGGCU